GUUACAUUUGAAAGGUGUUUACUUUCUGUGUUUUUCUUCAAUAGAUGUUCGAGCUCCUGCGGUUCAUUGAGGUGGCAACAAACAUUUCUAAAAAAAUAAAGAGAGGCGAGAUUUAUCUGCUUGAUUUCGUUUUUGACGUCAUGCUCCCAGAGGUGAGUAGAUCAAACUAUAUAGCUUGCUUUGAAAAUUGAUGAUAUUGUUAAGAGGUUGUUCUUAUUCAUUUGGAAAGCUCAAGAACAACAAUUAACCCAUACUGCAUAACUUCAAUUGUUCACAUUAUUUGACUGUUUUUCAGCUUUUGAUCAAAGCACUGAAGGAGCAUGACAUCAACCGGUUCAGAGCAGAGCUGAUGAUGGCCUGUGGCAACAUGUUUUAAGCCCCCCACCACACCGACGGCAGUGCUGAAUUUUGUAUAUAUAUAUAUUUUUUUACUGUUCACAAUUUUGUUUGGAAAAAAUUAAAGAAAUCUUCAAAGCAGUUGUAUGACAAUUUCCCAUUUCUUUACACAGUCUGUAAUGAUAUCGCUAUUCAAUUGUUUUUGCUAUAUGGCUCUUCUGAACCUUAAAGAGAUCAUGUGACUUGUCUCUACAACUAUUGUAUACUUGGAUUUUGCACAGUCAAGCAAUCCUGAAGAGGUUCACCAGGAAGCACACCAUUUCAUAAAUUAUGUCCCUGGUUACACAAUGUUACUAAAGGAUGGGGGAGUAAAUUUGUGCAGCAACAUAAGCACUCUCAUAAAACAUAAUUAUGAACAACAGAAAAUAUGUGAGGGUCAGGGCAACAUUGUUGACAUUAAACGAGGUCCUAAUAGGAGUGGAGAAACAAGGUCACAGAGAAGUUAAGAAACAUU